CUGGUUGUGUGUGUGUGUGCGCGUUCAGGCAUUUUGCUUCUGGUUGUGUGUGUGCGGUCGCGUUCAGGCCUUUUGCUUCUGUGUACGUGUGUGUUCAGGCAUUUUGCGUUUGGUUGUAUUUGUGUGCGUGCGUUCAGGCAUUUUGCGUCUGGUUGUGUGCGCAUUCAGACAUUUUGCUUCUGGUUGUGUGUGCACUCGUGUUCAGGCAUUUUGCUUCUUGUUGUGUGUGUGUGUGUGCGUGCGUGCGCGUUCAGUCAUUUUGUUUCUGGUUGUACGCGCGCACUCAGGCAUUUUGCUUCUGGUUGUGUGUGCGCGCACGCUUAGGCAUUUUUCUUCUGGUUGUGUGUGCGCACGCGCGUUCAGGCAUUUUGCUUCUGGUUGUGUGUCUGCGCAUGUUCAGGCAUUUUGCUUCUGGUUGUGUGUGCGCGUGUUCAGGCAAAAUGCACAUCUAACCAAGCUUGCAAAGUCAGGUUACCUCUAUUAAAAAAGACUGCUCUAAUAGCAAGUCCUGUAGAUGCCCAACUAGAACACGCACCGUGUUCUCAUCCAACACUAGAGACUUGGUCUUUUUUAUAUAAUGCAUUAUUGUGGUCCAGAUGUGAUGAAUAAAACAAUUUAAAAAAGGAAAAUUAGGCCCUCCGAGAAUCUACCCCCCCACUGCUGUUUUGGUGCAUAACAUCAUAGGCAUGCUGACUAGUACCAGGCGUACUGUUUUGGUGCAUAACAUCAUAGGCAUGCUGACUAGUACCAGGCGUACUGUUUUGGUGCAUAACAUCAUAGGCAUGCUGACUAGUACCAGGCGUACUGUUUUGGUGCAUAACAUCAUAGGCAUGCUGACUAGUACCAGGCGUACUGUUUUGGUGCAUAACAUCAUAGGCAUGCUGACUAGUACCAGGCGUGCUGUUU
rnacentral:lncRNA from 1 species